UCGCCACAGCCAGAGCUCAAUACUAUCCAAGCUGGUACUACCCAGAUGACGUUUUUCACCGCCACCAGGCGCUGCUACUACACCUCAAACUCCAGCGCAAGACGCCCAUACGCUGGUACUGCAUUCUAU
rnacentral:lncRNA from 1 species